rnacentral:rRNA from 1 species
AUUGAACGCUGGCGGCAGGCCUAACACAUGCAAGUCGAGCGGUAGCACAGAGAGCUUGCUCUCGGGGGACGAGCGGCGGACGGGUGAGUAAUGUCUGGGAAACUGCCUGAUGGAGGGGGAUAACUACUGGAAACGGUAGCUAAUACCGCAUAACGUCACAAGACCAAAGAGGGGGACCUUCGGGCCUCUUGCCAUCAGAUGUGCCCAGAUGGGAUUAGCUAGUAGGUGGGGUAACGGCUCACCUAGGCGACGAUCCCUAGCUGGUCUGAGAGGAUGACCAGCCACACUGGAACUGAGACACGGUCCAGACUCCUACGGGAGGCAGCAGUGGGGAAUAUUGCACAAUGGGCGCAAGCCUGAUGCAGCCAUGCCGCGUGUAUGAAGAAGGCCUUCGGGUUGUAAAGUACUUUCAGCGGGGAGGAAGGCGAUAAGGUUAAUAACCUUGUCGAUUGACGUUACCCGCAGAAGAAGCACCGGCUAACUCCGUGCCAGCCGCCGCGGUAA